AUAAAUGCUGGCGGCGUGCCUAACACAUGCAAGUCGAGCGGCAGCGCGAGUAGUUUACUACUUGGCGGCGAGCGGCGGACGGCUGAGUAACGCGUGGGAACGUACCCCAAAGUGAGGAAUAACUGCCCGAAAGGGUGGCUAAUGCCGCAUAUGGUCUUCGGAUUAAAGGAUUUAUCCGCUUUGGGAACGGCCUGCGUACGAUUAGAUAGUUGGUGGGGUAAAGGCCUACCAAGUCUACGAUCGUUAACUGGUCUGAGAGGAUGAUCAGUCAGACUGGAACUGAGAUACGGUCCAGACUCCUACGGGAGGCAGCAGUGAGGAAUCUUCCACAAUGGACGAAAGUCUGAUGGAGCAACGCCGCGUGCAGGAUGAAGGCCUUCGGGUCGUAAAGCACUUUUGCCGAGGAAGAAUCAUGACGGUACUCGGAGAAUAAGAGGUUGCUAACUCUGU
rnacentral:rRNA from 1 species